ensembl:lncRNA
GUGACAAUAAAAGUCAAACACUCGGUGGUUGCCGGAGUCCUGGCUGGUUAUUAGUAUGUAAAUGAAAUCAUCACAGCUGUUCUAUGCGCGGAGAGGGGGAGAGCGGAGACAACAAACCCUGCAUUCUGAUGCUGUCUCCUGAACAACCAUCAGGCGCUGGCCACCUCUUCCAUACCCUGCAGUCAAGCAAUAAUGCAUGCACAAGUGCUUUUAUGCAUGCAAUUAAAUUAUGGCUAAAAUAUAGUGUACACAUAUACAGGAGAUGAUUUUUUUCAAAGUGACCUACAAAUGAAGAAUCCAACAAAGUGUGUCAUCCCGAGACAUCCCGACCAUCCUGACACAGCAACAUCAGGUCAACCAAUGGGGUGAGUUUGGGGCGGGACUACCUGCUGUUCCAGCCAAUGGCAGAAGGGCUGAGUGCUUUGAACAACAGUCAUUAUUUUUGCAGUUAGAUUUGGGUUUCUAUAGGGAUGUAGAAAUGACACGCUUCAGCUUUGUACUACGUGCUCACAAAUGAUGAGAACAACAUCAAACUCGAACAUUACGAGAAAGUGCAUUGCAUCAAUAUGAAUGAAUAUUUCAAGUUUUCAUCCUAACAAGUCAAAAAACAUACACAUAGCAUCAGUAUGGAGGUUUACUUAAAUCUGUGAUUUAAACAUGCAGCAUGUAAACUCUAGAAUUCCAGACCCAAAUCAGGGGCCCAAAUCCUUUUCUUAUUUAUUUUUCCAAAGGAUAAUAUUAUGAGAAAACUCACAUUUUUUCCCAGACAGUAAACAAAAGCAUUCCCCCCGAAAACUGAUUUCUGCCGCAAAUGAAACAUAGACGGGCGUUAGACGCUGCCAAAUCUCCGGCUGAAAUUGUUUCCAUAUCUGCGCCAUGUAUUCAAUGCCCAUCUGCCCGAACUCCUGCACAUACCGCCAGCAAAAACACAAUGAGUAAUUCUCUCCAAACAUAGACAUAAAACCUGCCGUUCCUGCUCCAUCACUGCUAUGUUUGAGAGAACGCGAAAAAUAUCUCCUCUCAGAUUGUCCGCUUGAGAAUACUAAUUAGGCCACCAUUGUGGAAAAUGUUACACGUGAAGACUUUGAUCACGGGUCAAAGUCUUGGGAUGGGAUGUGUUGAACUUAAGCUUUCAAUCUAAAUAAAGAGCUGCUUUUCAGCUCGGCCCAUCUCCAACUGCUAAAUAAAUAAUGCUCUACGAUAUAGUCGACAGGCAAAAUGUCAGAUUGUCUGCUAUUUAAAUGCAUAGAGGUGUGAUGAGUGAAACAUAUGGGAGAUUUGAGAGCUAGCAGCGCUUUCUGAUCAAACCAGGCGUGUAGUGUGCGUUUUGGCUGCUUUUGACGAAGUCAUCCUUGGAUAUGUGAAGGGUUUUAUGUAAAAAUAUGCUAAGAUACCAUCACGGUGCAUCUGUAUCACUUCGUCUGCCACGUUUCAUUAAGCUAAAUUUUAUGACGUGUUCUCUUUAAGUCUGGGAAUUUAUGGAUAGCUGUCUCUCGAAAUUCCGUCACGUCAACAGCAUCGCUCUUCAUUCGCAUCCGUAACUUACGGAGAAGGAUUCUGACGCAGCUCCAUCAUAAAGGCGACUUGAUUUAGGAAGCGUUUACAUAAGCUCUAAUGUCUGGAGCGAGUGAACUUGCACGCUAAGAAAUGUUUAUUCCAAGCGUGAAAUAAACUAUGUUCUCUGGCCUGAAUUGUUUGAUAUCGAGAGGUUAGAGAGUGAGGAGCUUUGUUUGUUCACUUCACCUUCCCUCCUACACUCACUGUCUCCCCCUGUGAUUAAAAAACAUCAUCAGCAUCUCAUUAGCACUGAUUUGCAUAGUAACAGCAUGAAUAUUGUGAGUGUGUUUCUGGGGGUAGGGGUAACUUAAUGAAUGCGACAGCCUCUUCUGUUUAACUAAUUUUUUGCCUCAUCCAUAUUCAGAUGACUCUUGGAAUCAGACAGUGGUUAAACUUUCACGCUGAAGACAUGCAGACGUGAUCGCCAGAAUGUUGCACCUGAUUCCUGAACCCAGAGGAGAAUUUUAGAUUCAGAUGUUGCUCUUUUAAGGCUCCAGAGACUCCAAGGCAUCAUGAAAUUUACAUUAUUUACUUUUGCAAUACAUGUCUGUGGUCUCAUCGUGCAUGAUUCAUCAGUACACGCUGUUUGAAAGGACAAAAAGGUUUGUCACUUGUAAAUACGUCACAUUACGGAUGCAAAGCAGUCGUGAAUGGCGUAUCAAAUGUUUUGUUGAAGUGUCAAUGAAAAAAUCAAAAUACUCACAGUUCAAAUUGAGCUCAGCGUUGUUUGAGACGUUGUUGAAACUCUCUUCUCUUCUGGUAUUUUAUGAUUUAAAUCUGUGGUCGUUUGUGAAUUUUCUUUAUUUGCAACAAAGCCCUUCCAAACUCAGUUGCUCACAGGUUGCUCGUUCAUAGCUCAAAAACUUAAUGGAGAUCCUAGUUACGUUUCACGCAAGUAUAAACUUUGUUUCAGAUGUUUCUCCUAAAUUGCUUAGAAGAAAUAAAAAAUACACACAAAUGAAUCAGUUGUUGAGUUCAUACUAAUAUAUCUGAGAACUGUUUGAGAUGUUGUUAAGAAACUCUGGAUGAGAUGCAUGUGAGAUCAUUUUUGGUUUUAUGAUUUAAGUCUCUCGAUUUAAUCACAUUUCUGUCAUUUGUUAUUUUUCUUUAUAUAAGAAAAGUCCAUCCAAACUGAAUUGCUCACAGGUUGCUCAUUCAUAGUUUAAAAGACAUAAUAGAAAGUCUAUUUAUGUUAAUGUAAAAAUUCCUUGGAAAAAUUUAAAGUGCACUUAAAGUCAGUUGUUGAGUUCAUAUUGAUUAUUGUUGGUUAUGUCAUUUAAAUCUCUCAAUUUAAUCUAAUUUCUGUCAUUUGUGAUUUUUAAUUUUUUUUAUUAUUAUUACAGAAAAGCCCUUCCAAACUGAAUUGCUCACAGGCUGCUCAUUCACAUCGCAAAAGACCUAAUGGAGAUCCUUGUUAUGUUUCAUGUAACGUCAGUUUGUCGGUGUCUGUCAGCAAGAACUCGACUCUGCUGGUUGACUGGAACAGCGGGAGCAAACAGACGACCCAAUGUGCUCUGCUCGUCUCAACCGAAGGAAGACAGGAGAUCCAGAUACACCUUUUACCAUGGUCUGGAUCGCUCCUGCUGGAAAACAUGACAGACAAUGGCAAACACUACUUCUUAUGUACUUGUUUUGAACAAUCGCAGGGACUUUUGUGCUCCAAGAACAUAAGUUUUGUUAUGGGGCCUGUCUCUGCACCACCUCUGGUCCUGAUGUCAGAUACUCAGAGCUCUGCCAGUUACAUCAGCAUGAAAUGGUUGAGCAGCGGUGUGUUUGGAAUGACUUUAGCAACAUUUGUCAUUUUUCUAAUCUACAUUAUAUACAGAAGAUGGACGGGGAACGGCGUCUUCCAACUGCGUCUGAGAUAAAGAAAGACUCGC